AAACACAUGGGUUUGGUCCCAGCCUUCCUGAGAGGAGCUGGUAUCAAGCACACACCUGUAGCCCAUGACACCUUGCUUAACCAUACCCCCAAGGGAGACAGCAGUGAUAAAAAUUAAGCCAUAAAUGAAAGUUUGACUAAGUUAUAUUGAUUAGGGUUGGUAAAUCUCGUGCCAGCCACCACGGUCAUAAGAUUAAUCCAAGUUAACAGGAAUAUGGCAUAAAGCAUGCUAAAGCAUUACACCAAAUAGAGUUUAAUUCUAAUUAAGCUGUAAAAAGCCAUAAUUAUAACAGAAAUAAAUGAUGAGUCGUGUCCGACUCUGUGUGACCCCAUAACAUAAAUAAUUGUACAAACAAAAUUAUUCGCCAGAGUACUACUGGCAACAGCUUAAAAAUCAAAGGACUUGGCAGUGCUUUAUACCCUUCUAGAGGAGCCUGUUCUAUAAUUGAUAAACCCUGAUAAACCUCACCAAUCCUUGCUAAUACAGUCUACAUACUGCCAUCUUCAGCAAACCCUAAAAAGGAAUAAAAGAAAGCACAGUAACAGCACAUAAAAACGUUAGGUCAAGGUGUAACCUCUGGAAUAGGAAGAAAUGGGCUACAUUUUCUAUUUUAAGAAAACCCAAUACAAAAGUUAUUAUGGAACUAAUAACCAAAGGAGGAUUUAGUAGUAAACUAAGGACAGAAUGCUUAGUUGAAUUAGGCCAUGAAGCACGCACACAUUGCCCGUCACCCUCCUCAAAUAAAAAUGAUGCACUUAAAUCUAUUCACAUAUAUCAACUAUAUGAGAGGAGACAAGUCAUAACAAGGUAAGCAUACUGGAAAGUGUGCUUGGACAAACCAAAAU
rnacentral:rRNA from 1 species